UACAGAGGUGGCAAGCGUUGUUCGGAAUUACUGGGCGUAAAGCGCGUGUAGGCGGCCAAGCAGGUCGGAUGUGAAAUCCCUCGGCUCAACCAAGGAAGUGCAUUCGAAACCGCAUGGCUGGAGUCCCGGAGAGGAAGGUGGAAUUCUCGGUGUAGAGGUGAAAUUCGUAGAUAUCAAGCAGAACACCGGCGGCGAAGGCGGCCUUCUGGACGAUGACUGACGCUGAGACGCGAAAGCGUGGGGAGCAAACAGG
rnacentral:rRNA from 1 species